UGCCAGCCGCCGCGGUAAUCCUGAUUUGGUUAUCGUUGUUCGGAAUUUCUGGGCGUAAAGCGCACGUAGGCGGAUUGGAAAGUUGGGGGUGAAAUCCCGGGGCUCAACCCCGGAACUGCCUCCAAAACUAUCAGUCUAGAGUUCGAGAGAGGUGAGUGGAACUCCGAGUGUAGAGGUGAAAUUCGUAGAUAUUCGGAAGAACACCAGUGGCGAAGGCGGCUUUCUGGACCGAUACUGACGCUGAGACGCGAAAGCGUGGGGAGUAAACAGGAUUAGAUA
rnacentral:rRNA from 1 species